rnacentral:rRNA from 1 species
CUACGGGAGGCUGCAGUGGGGAAUAUUGCACAAUGGGCGCAAGCCUGAUGCAGCCAUGCCGCGUGUGUGAAGAAGGCCUUCGGGUUGUAAAGCACUUUCAGCGGGGAGGAAGGCGGUGAGGUUAAUAACCUCAUCGAUUGACGUUACCCGCAGAAGAAGCACCGGCUAACUCCGUGCCAGCAGCCGCGGUAAUACGGAGGGUGCAAGCGUUAAUCGGAAUUACUGGGCGUAAAGCGCACGCAGGCGGUCUGUCAAGUCGGGUGUGAAAUCCCCGGGCUCAACCUGGGAACUGCAUUCGAAACUGGCAGGCUAGAGUCUUGUAGAGGGGGGUAGAAUUCCAGGUGUAGCGGUGAAAUGCGUAGAGAUCUGGAGGAAUACCGGUGGCGAAGGCGGCCCCCUGGACAAAGACUGACGCUCAGGUGCGAAAGCGUGGGGAGCAAACAGGAUUAGAUACCCGAGUAGUC